rnacentral:rRNA from 1 species
UCAAAAACAUAGUUUAAAGAAAAAGAUUUUAGAUAAAUUCUGCUCAAUGAGUAAAUUAAAUAGCUGCAGUAAAUUAACUGUACUAAGGUAGCAUAAUAAGUUGCUUUAUAAUUAAAAGCUUGAAUGAAAGAAAUAAUGUGAAACAAGCUUUUUAAACUAAAGUAGUAAAAAUUAAUAUUUAAGUGAAAAAUCUUAAAUAAAAUCAAAAGACAAGAAGACCCUUUAGAACUUUACAAAUUAACUUAAUUUCAUUUGGUUAAUUUGUUAGAUUGGGGAGAUUUUUAAAUAAAUAAAUCUUUAGAUAUAAAAAAAUGAUUUAAAUCAAAUUAAAUUAUCCAAAUAUGAAAUAAAACAAGUUACCUAAGGGAUAACAGCGCAAAAUUUUUGAGAAGUUCUCAUUUACAAAAUAAAUUGCGACCUCGAUGUUGGAUUAAGAACAACUUAUAAAGCAAAAAUUUAUAAGAGUUGGUCGUCCCCGUCAUCU